CUUUUCUCCUCCAAUCCAAGAAGCCUGGACUGCAGUCACCAUCUCAACACACCAACCAAGAGAAAGGCGGAUGGCUCAAUUCAAUAUGGAAAAUUGCACAAUAAAAGUUCCAGGACAUGAAGGCUGCAUACUGUGAACGUCAACCUUCAGGGCACCGUCCUGCGCAGAAGACUUUCUACCCUAAGAGGGAUGGCUGACCGCGGACACUCACAACCAGCACAGACGCCUCCAACCUCAGACUAGGCCCUUCACAGUUGCUGCACUUACCCACCUUCCCAGAGUUUUUGUGUGGUAAUGACAACUGUAAAUAUAGUAUAAAGUAAUGUAUCUAGUGUCAUGUGUAAUACAUUGUUUAAAUUGUCCAUACAUUUCAAUGACAGUAAAUAUUGGUGGACACAAUUUGACUGUGGCUUUUUUUUAAUUCAUUCUCUGACUGAAAAUGCAUGGUUACAUAAUUUAUAUAUUCCACAAGACCACAAUCAGAAGAUUAUUUGACAGGUUGCAUUUAUUUUCUAUGUAUGAAAAAAACAACGGUAACAAGACAAACGUGGUUCCAAACCAAAAAGGUGAGAUGUACAGAUGAAUGCUCCUACAGAUAAUGAAAAAUAAAAAAACUCUGCACACUGCCGGUUUGUGUGUUUUAUACCGUACUCUGUAUAAACCUUUUAUAUUGCUCUAGUGGAGCAGGGUAACCCUGGCUAAUCCUGGGUAUUGUACUGUGUAUUACAACGUCAGCCCUGUUCAAGUGCCCCAUACUGUCUGUAGGCUGCAUGCCUGAAGAGACCGUUUCUCUCACCUGGUCCUACAUCAGCCCAAAGUCUUAUCAAAACUGAGAACACCACAGCAUUUCCUUUCAAUGUUCAUGGGCAUCUCCUUACAGAUUGCGCAGAGGCGCCAGGUUGGUUGUGCUACUGGGCUGUGGCUGAGGACCAGAUGUCGUGUGCCAGGUCGAACAUCAAACUGGGGUCACGGGUCAGGGCACGCUGCAGUAACCGAUGGGAUUGC